CCGCCGGUAAUACGGGGGAUGCAAGCGUUAUCCGGAAUCAUUGGGUGUAAAGCGCCUGAUAGGUUGUUUGAUAAGUCUGUUGUUAAAGCCUAGGGCUUAACCCUAGAAAAGCGAUGGAAACUACCAGACUAGAGUAUGGAAGGGGUAGAGGGAAUUUCUAGUGUAGCGGUGAAAUGCGUAGAUACUAGAAAGAACACCAGAGGCGAAAGCGCUCUACUGGGCCAGUACUGACACUCAGAGGCGAAAGCUAGGGUAGCAAAAGGGAUUAGAUACCCCUGUAGUCCUAGCCGUAAACGAUGGAUACUAGAUGUUGUGGGUUACUUACAACAGAUGUUGUAGAUUAACAUGCAGUGACGAAGCUAACGCGUUAAGUAUCCCACCUGGGGAGUACGCUCGCAAGGGUGAAACUCAAAGGAAUUGACGGGGGCUUGCACAAGCGGUGGAGCAUGUGGUUUAAUUCGAUGCAACGCGAAGAACCUUACCAGGAUUUGACAUACUACAAAUCUUUUUGAGAAAAAAGAGCGCCUUCGGGAAUGUAGAUACAGGUGGUGCAUGGCUGUCGUCAGCUCGUGUCGUGAGAUGUUGGGUUAAGUCCCGCAACGAGCGCAACCCUUAUUUUUAGUUACUAACUUGUUAGGUUCUCUAGAAAGACUGCCGGUGACAAACCGGAGGAAGGUGAGGAUGACGUCAAGUCAGCAUGCCCCUUAUAUCCUGGGCUACACACGUGCUACAAUGGUUAAGACAAUGAGUCGCGAGCUCGUGAGAGUCAGCUAAUCCCAU
rnacentral:rRNA from 1 species